GCCGUGUGAAAAUUUUGUAAAUAACUUUUAAGUUUUAUGAUUAAAAAGAAUUGAAUUUGCAAUUGAUAAGAUUGUAUAAUAAAGUUCUACUAGAAACUUAUGCCAAAACAAUGGCAAGCAGCUUUGAUUUUAUUUAAUUUCCAAUUUGAUGUAAUUAGUAUUUUCCCGCCAAAAGUUUGGUGAGCAUUUGGCGCCUCUUAUAGUCAUGUGACUUUAGACCAGGGUUGGAUUUUUUCAUAUUGUCCAGUGGGUUUGAAGUGUACAGACGUUUGAGUUUUAGUUAUAGUUGGAGUUAUUUCGCCAUCGUGGUAUGUCUGGUUUUUCUUUGUUUUUAUGGAAGCAAUAGCAUCGCAGUUGUUGGCGCUCUUAAUUAUAUUGCUAAUAUCUAACAAAGUGCAUGUUUAACUUUUAUUGCAGUUGCACCAAAGAAGCUUUGAAAUAUAGUUUACAGCUUUACAUUUGAUAAAUAUCAAGCCUAAAGUCCAUAACUUUGGGCAUUUCAGUUUAUUCUAUUUGAAUGAAAUAUAAACACGAACUUUUAACAAGGA